AGUGAACGCUGGCGGUAGGCCUAACACAUGCAAGUCGAACGGCAGCACAGUAAGAGCUUGCUCUUACGGGUGGCGAGUGGCGGACGGGUGAGGAAUACAUCGGAAUCUACUUUUUCGUGGGGGAUAACGUAGGGAAACUUACGCUAAUACCGCAUACGACCUACGGGUGAAAGCAGGGGAUCUUCGGACCUUGCGCGAAUGAAUGAGCCGAUGUCGGAGUAGCUAGUUGGCGGGGUAAAGGCCCACCAAGGCGGCGAUCCGUAGCUGGUCUGAGAGGAUGAUCAGCGACACUGGAGCUGAGACACGGUCCAGACUCCUACGGGAGGCGGCAGUGGGGAAUAUUGGACAAUGGGCGCAAGCCUGAUCCAGCGAUACCGCGUGGGUGAAGGAGGCCUUCGGGUUGUAAAGCCCUUUUGUUGGGAGAGAAAAGCAGCAGGUUAAUACCCCGCUGUUCUGACGGUACCCAAAGAAUAAGCACCGGCUAACUUCGUG
rnacentral:rRNA from 1 species